UACAGAGGUCCCAAGCGUUGUUCGGAUUCACUGGGCGUAAAGGGUGCGUAGGUGGUGAGGUAAGUGGGAUGUGAAAGCUCCGAGCUCAACUCGGAAAUGGCAUUGGAAACUACCUUGCUAGAGGGUUUGAGGGGGGACUGGAAUACUUGGUGUAGCAGUGAAAUGCGUAGAUAUCAAGUGGAACACCAGUGGCGAAGGCGAGUCCCUGGAAAACUCCUGACACUGAGGCACGAAAGCUAGGGGAGCAAACAGG
rnacentral:rRNA from 1 species